rnacentral:lncRNA from 1 species
CCCGGGGGGGGCCCUCGGGCCCCAGGGGCUGCUGAGAGGAAGGGGGGGCCUCAUCCUGCUCCCUCCGGGAGGAGCCGUCCAGCUCCUGGGCGCCCUGGCGGCCCAGCCUGCGCUCCGCCGAGCCGCCUGGGGGGGUUUUGGGGGACAUUUAGGGUCGCCCCCCGAUUUUAGGGUCACCCCCCGGCUUUAGGGGGGGCCCAGCACCUUUGGGUGCCCCCCCUGGGGAGCUCGGCACCCACCUGUGUGCGCUGGGCCCUCCUCGUCCUCCUCACACUCCACUUCCACGGUGUCGGCGGGGGGCGCUCCUGGAGGGGGGGGAGAGGCAAAAAUUGGGGGUUUUGGCCCCAAAAUGUGGCGUUUUGGGGGAUUGUUAGCUCGGAGCGGGGCAUGGUUAGCUCGGAGAGGGACCCCAGUGUCCCAUAUUGGGCCCUUUUUGCCCCAAAAUGGCCCCGUUACCUCAUAACAGAACCCCAUUAUCGCUUAUCACAACCCCAUUGUCCCAUAUUGGGCCCUUUUUACCCCAAAACAGCCCCAUUACCUCAUAUCAGGACCCCGUUACCUCACACCGGCCCCAUUAUCCCAUAGCAGGAUCCCCUUAUCCCAUAUUAGGUUCUUUUUACCCCAAAACGGCCCUGUUACCUCAUAACAGAACCCCAUUAUCCCUUAUCACACCCCCAUUGUCCCAUAUUGGGCCCUUUUUACCCCAAAACAGCCCCGUUACCUCAUAUUGGGACCUUGUUAUCCCAUAUCAGGAUCCCCUUAUCCCAUAUUAGGCUCUUUUUACCCCAAAACGGCCCUGUUACCUCCUAUCAGAACCCCAUUAUCAUGUAUCAUGACCCCAUUGUCCCAUUUUGGGCCCUUUUUACCCCAAAACGGCCUCAUUACCUCAAAACAGAACCCCAUUACCCCUUAUCACAACCCUGUUGUCCCAUAUUGGGCCCUUUUUACCCCAAAAUGGCCCCAUUACCUCCUAUCAGGCCCCCAUUACCUCACACCAGCCCCGUUAUCUCAUAUCUGGACCCCACUGUCCCAUUUUGGGCCCCUUUUACCCCAAAACAGCCCCCUUACCUCCCCCAACCCCCUCAUUCCCCACCAGGACCCCAUUACCUUUUUUUGGGACCCCAUCACCCCAUUUUGGGACCCUUUUUCCUCAUUUUGGGACCCCAUGACUUCACUUUGAGCCCCCUUUACCCCAAACCCGCCCCGUUACCCUACCCCAGGACCCCCUCACCUCAUUUGGGGACCCCAUCACCACAUUUUGGGACCCUUUUUCCGCAUUUUGGGACCCCCUCACCUGGUUUUAGGACCCCUUUACCUCACUUUAGGGCCCUCUCACCUCAUUUUGGGCCCCUUUUACCUCAUUUCGGGACCCUUUUACCUCGUUUAACCCCCCCCUCACCUCACACCGGGACCCCUUUACCUCAUUUUGGGACUUUUUUUACCUCAUUUGAGGACCCCUCACCUCAAACCGGGGCCCUUUUACCUCAUUUUGGGACCACUUUACCUCACGAAAGGACCCCUCAUCUCAUUUUGGGACCCUUUACCUUAUUUUGGGACUUUUUUACCUCAUUUGAGGACCCCUCACCCCAAACCAGGACCCCUUUACCUCAUUUUGGGACCCUUUUACCUCAUUUUGGGACCCCUCACCUCACACUGGGACUCCUUUACCUUAUUUUGGGACCCCUCACCCCAAACCGGGGCACUUUUACCUCAUUUCGGGACCCUUUUACCUCACUUAAGGAACCCUCGCCGGGGCCCUUUACCUCAUUUUGGGACCUUUUUACUUCAUUUUGGGACCCCUCACCUCAAACCUGGGCCCAUUUACCUCAUUUUGGGAUCCCUUUAUCUCACGCAAACACCCCUCACCUCACACCGGGACCCUUUUCCUCAUUUUGGGACAUUUUACUUCAUUUAAAGACCCCUCACCUCCAACUGGGGCACUUUUACCUCAUUUCGGAACCUUUUACCUCACAUAAAGACCCCUCACCUCACACCGGGACCCCUUUACCUCAUUUUGGGACCCUUUUACCUCACGAAAGGACCCCUCACCUCAUUUUGGGACUUUUUGCUUCAUUUAAAGACCCCUCACCUCAAACUGGGGCACUUUUACCUCAUUUCGGGACGUUUUAUUUCAUUUAAAGACCCCUCACCUCAAACUGGGACCCCUUUACCUCAUUUCGGGACAUUUUAUUUCAUUUCAAGACCCCUCACCCCAAACCGGGCCACUUUUACCUCAUUUUGGGACCCCUCACCUCACACCGGGGCACUUUUACCUCACGUAAGGACCCCUCACCUCAAACCGGGGCCCAUUUACCUCAUUUCGGGACAUUUUAUUUCAUUUAAAGACCCCUCUCCUCACACCGAGGCACUUUUACCUCACGAAAGGACCCCUCACCUCAUUUCGGGACAUUUUGCUUCAUUUAAAGACCCCUCACCCCAAACCGGGCCACUUUUCCCUCAUUCCGGGGCCCUUUUCCCUCAUUUCGGGACCUUUUUACCUCAUUUCGGGACCCCACACCUCACACCGGGCCACUUUUACCUCAUUUUGGGACCCUUCCACCUCCUUUAACCCCCCUUUACCUCACGCCGGGCCCCUUUUACCUCAUUUUGGGCCCCUUUAUCUCAUUUUGCGACCCUUUCACCUCAUUUUGGGCCCCUUCCACCCCCCCACACCCCGCGUUUCCCCCUUU